UACGGAGGGGGCUAGCGUUGUUCGGAAUUACUGGGCGUAAAGCGCGCGUAGGUGGUACCGCACGUCGGAUGUGAAAGCCCGGGGCUCAACCUCGGAAGUGCAUUCGAAACGACGGUGCUGGAGUGCGGAAGAGGAGCGCGGAAUUCCCGGUGUAGAGGUGAAAUUCGUAGAUAUCGGGAGGAACACCAGUGGCGCAGGCGGCGCUCUGGGCCGCAACUGACACUGAGGCGCGAAAGCGUGGGGAGCAAACAGG
rnacentral:rRNA from 1 species